UCUCCUCGCUCGCACCCAUUUCCUCUCCUACCCAGCUCCGCCAUCGCCACGCACCCAUCUCCUCCCCUGCUCCCAGCCGGCGCCGUCCCGCCCCCAUCUCCCCCCGGGCUUCUGCCGUGCCGCGACGGCCGAUCCGGUGCACAACCGCCGUCAGCCUCCUGUCGCACGACCGCAGCGUCCAUGCCCACCGCCGCUGCUCUCUAUCCCCAACCUCCCACCAUCUCCCCGAGUCCACAAGUCAUCGUCGGGCCAACCCCGCGCGUCGUGUGCCUUCGCCACCCCAUCCGCCACCUCUGACCACCGCCGCCGCUCAUCAAAUGGAAGAUCCACCGUCGCCGCCUACUACGUCGACAGGUGAGCUUAUGGUUCCUGAUCAUGGUGCUGUAAUUGCGCUCAUCCUCUAUGGGGUCCAUCAGAACUGAACUACAUAUUGUGAAAGGGCCUCAAGACCUUCCGAAAGCUGCACAAACAUGGCGCCAUCGAUCUUGGGGCUGACCAUUCAGAUGGCGGAGAGCCUCAUUAACACGGGCUUCUCCAGCCGUCGGAUGGCCACCCCCCAGCAUUCCUUCGUGCUCAUUGUAGUCACCCGCUCCGAGUCGCUCAACCUCAGGGCGGCCAUCGGUGCCACCAAGCUCGCCAGCACGCUCGUCUCGCUAGACGGCGCCAUGGUGAUCACCUUCUACAUAGGCGUGGUCUUCAGCUUCAUCCAGGUCACCGUGCAGCGCAACCUCACCGGCUAGACCAUCUCCAGCAAGUUCCAGAUCAUCACUUUCAUGUACUCCGUAAGAAACCAACCAACCAUCAUGCUUUUGAAUUGCUUGCUACAUUAUGCACAACAUGGCUUGCCACUGAUUGACUUUGAUUGAUUUUACCUGAAGUCGGGUUGUGGUCGCAUCUGGCAUGUCCUUCGUGAUGAUGCAUUCCUUCGUGAUGCUGACAUGGUGCAUCGACCCAUGACCUAGCCUGGUCAGUGGGAAAUUCUGACCACGCUAACCAGGUCAAGUACAUCAUGCUUGUGCUAAGAUUGACCAAUCCAUGUGGUUGUUCAUUCAUGGAACUAGUGAAUCAAAAAACAAAAUCAUAGAAGACCCAAAACUCAUGGAAUCGACCCAUAGAUUAUAUAAAAUAGCAUGUGGUUGUUGAAAAACAUACUCUGGAUAACUUAUAUAAAAAUAGCAUGGUAAUAUAUGAGCAACAUACUUGAUAACUUAGGUCAAACACCACGGUAACUCUGUCCAAGGAGGGGAACAAGUUGUUGAAAAACAUAGUCCCAGUAACUUAUGUGAAAAUAGCACAGUAAUUUAUGAACCGAUACCCGAUAACAUACAUAAAAACACCGAGGUAACUUUGAACAGUGGAAAAAUGUUAUUGAAAAUAUACCCUUGGUAGCUUUUGUGAAAAUAACAUGAUAAUAUAUGAACCAUAUACCUGAUAACUUAGGUACAAAUACCAUGGUAAAUUUGACCAAGAAGGGGAAAAAGUUCUUGAAAAACAUACUCCUAAUAACUUAUGUGAAAAUAACACGGUAAUGUACGAACCGCAUACCCGAUAAGUAUGUAUAAACACCGUGAGAACUUCGAGCAAGGAGGGGGAAAAGUUAUUGAAAAAUAUACCCCCAGUAAAUUAUGUGAAAAUAGCACGGUAAUACAUGAGCUGCAUACCCUAUAAGUUACUUACAAACACCAUGGUAAAUUUGAUCAAAGGGGAAAAUAUUUAAAAAACAUAUCCCGGUUACUUAUGUGAAAAUAGCACGGUAAUAUACGAACCACAUACCUGAUAACUUACAUAAGACACCACGUUAAAUUUAACCAAGGGUGAAAAAGUUGUUGAAAAAUACCCCUCAUUGACUCCUAUGUAAAUAACAUGGUAAUAUACGACCAACAAAGUUGAUAACUUAGGUGAAAAUAUUGUGGUAAUUUGCAUCUGAAAAGGAGGGAAGGGGAUGAUCAGGUUUGUGAACCGGCGUGAAACGUGCAGAAAAAAUGAUGGAACUAGGGCGUAUAGUCCUAAAACCCGGACAAAUGAGGCCACUGGUUUCGAUUUUCAGUUAUUGAGCGCUGUCUUUUUUUUCAAUCUCGUCUCAAGAAGAUAUGUAACUCCUGUGGAAUCAGCAAAGGGAGCUAGAGCAGCUGGGUGUUGUUGUUACAUUUAGUAUGGUAGGUUGUGGGUUCGAUUCCCUUGUAAGGCCUGUGUUUUGCCUUUUUUUAAACUACUGAUAGUGCGGGUGCAGCGACCCAGAAAACCGGGGAGAGCACGCAACCUCGUGUGCGGGGAGGAGAAAAUCGGAUCGAAGGAGGGGGUUCGUUUGGGAGGUGCGGUACUUUUUGCAAUCUGCCACAUGGUUGACAGUUAUCACAAUCCUUUAUUUAAAUACAAGAAAGCUUUACACGUUGAACAAUUUUUCAAAUACAAGAUUAAGGUUUCUCAAACAUAUAUGUUUUGAUGUCGAAUUUUUUCAUACAUAUUCUAUAUUUUUUGUAUACAUUAGGAAUGUAUUUUUAUACAUAGAUGAUUAACAUUUUUCAAUUAUGUAUGUAAAGUAAUUUUUAUAAUGAUAUAUUUAGUAUAUUUUGAAAUCCAUGUAAAAGUGAAAAAAGCAGAAAAGCGAAAAAAGGAAGAAGAAGAAGAAGAAGAAAAAUGCAGUAGAGGCCGGGCCUCUACUGGGAGGGCCCAUUCGGACAGCAGCUCUUGUACUGAGCCUUCCCUACGUCUCGUUAUAAGCGAGACAUAAAGAUUACCUUUUAGCGCCUGAAGCGUCAGGAAUUGCGAUCCUAGGAGGCCCCAAUUUCCUUGCAAGGCCUGUGUUUUGCCUUUUUUUAAACUACUGAUAGUGCGGGUGCAGCGACCCAGAAAACCGGGGAGAGCACGCAACCUCGUGUGCGGGGAGGAGAAAAUCGGAUCGAAGGAGGGGGUUCGUUUGGGAGGUGCGGUACUUUUUGCAAUCUGCCACAUGGUUGACAGUUAUCACAAUCCUUUAUUUAAAUACAAGAAAGCUUUACACGUUGAACAAUUUUUCAAAUACAAGAUUAAGGUUUCUCAAACAUAUAUGUUUUGAUGUCGAAUUUUUUCAUACAUAUUCUAUAUUUUUUGUAUACAUUAGGAAUGUAUUUUUAUACAUAGAUGAUUAACAUUUUUCAAUUAUGUAUGUAAAGUAAUUUUUAUAAUGAUAUAUUUAGUAUAUUUUGAAAUCCAUGUAAAAGUGAAAAAAGCAGAAAAGCGAAAAAAGGAAGAAGAAGAAGAAGAAGAAAAAUGCAGUAGAGGCCGGGCCUCUACUGGGAGGGCCCAUUCGGACAGCAGCUCUUGUACUGAGCCUUCCCUACGUCUCGUUAUAAGCGAGACAUAAAGAUUACCUUUUAGCGCCUGAAGCGUCAGGAAUUGCGAUCCUAGGAGGCCCCAAUUUCCUUGUAAGGCCUGUGUUUUGCCUUUUUUUAAACUACUGAUAGUGCGGGUGCAGCGACCCAGAAAACCGGGGAGAGCACGCAACCUCGUGUGCGGGGAGGAGAAAAUCGGAUUGAAGGAGGGGGUUCGUUUGGGAGGUGCGGUACUUUUUGCAAUCUGCCACAUGGUUGACAGUUAUCACAAUCCUUUAUUUAAAUACAAGAAAGCUUUACACGUUGAACAAUUUUUCAAAUACAAGAUUAAGGUUUCUCAAACAUAUAUGUUUUGAUGUUGAAUUUUUUCAUACAUAUUCUAUAUUUUUUGUAUACAUUAGGAAUGUAUUUUUAUACAUAGAUGAUUAACAUUUUUCAAUUAUGUAUGUAAAGUAAUUUUUAUAAUGAUAUAUUUAGUAUAUUUUGAAAUCCAUGUAAAAGUGAAAAAAGCAGAAAAGCGAAAAAAGGAAGAAGAAGAAGAAAAAUGCAGUAGAGGCCGGGCCUCUACUGGGAGGGCCCAUUCGGACAGCAGCUCUUGUACUGAGCCUUCCCUACGUCUCGUUAUAAGCGAGACAUAAAGAUUACCUUUUAGCGCCUGAAGCGUCAGGAAUUGCGAUCCUAGGAGGCCCCAAUUUCCUUGUAAGGCCUGUGUUUUGCCUUUUUUUAAACUACUGAUAGUGCGGGUGCAGCGACCCAGAAAACCGGGGAGAGCACGCAACCUCGUGUGCGGGGAGGAGAAAAUCGGAUCGAAGGAGGGGGUUCGUUUGGGAGGUGCGGUACUUUUUGCAAUCUGCCACAUGGUUGACAGUUAUCACAAUCCUUUAUUUAAAUACAAGAAAGCUUUACACGUUGAACAAUUUUUCAAAUACAAGAUUAAGGUUUCUCAAACAUAUAUGUUUUGAUGUCGAAUUUUUUCAUACAUAUUCUAUAUUUUUUGUAUACAUUAGGAAUGUAUUUUUAUACAUAGAUGAUUAACAUUUUUCAAUUAUGUAUGUAAAGUAAUUUUUAUAAUGAUAUAUUUAGUAUAUUUUGAAAUC